rnacentral:siRNA from 1 species
UAGUCAUAUGCUUGUCUCAAA